AGUCGAACGAAUCCUGCCUCUCACCAUGCUUUCGAUUGGCGAGCCGGAGCACGUAAGUGCCCGGAGUUCGCUGAGCGAAGGUGUGGUGAGAGGCAGGGGAAGUGGCGAAAGGGGCAGUAAGGCGUGGGUAACCUACCCUGGGGACCGGGAUAGCCUUCCUAACGGAUGGGUAAUACCGGGCGAUCUGCCGAGGGGGCAUCUCCUUGUCAGGAAAUGAAUUUCGCCUCGGGAGGGGCUCACGUGAUAUUAGCUUGUUGGCGGGGUAACGGCCCACCAAGGCUGAGAUGUCUAGCAGGUGUGAGAGCACGACCUGCGCCACUGGCACUGAGACACUGGCCAGACACCUACGGGUGGCUGCAGUCGAGGAUCUUCGGCAAUGGGCGCAAGCCUGACCGAGCGACGCCGCGUGUGCGAUGAAGGCCUUCGGGUUGUAAAGCACUGUCGAGGGGGAGGAAGGCGCAAGCUUGACCUAUCCCUGGAGGAAGCACGGGCUAAGUUCGUGCCAGCAGCCGCGGUAAGACGAACCGUGCGAACGUUGUUCGGAAUCACUGGGCUUAAAGGGCGCGUAGGCGGGCAAGCAAGUCCGGGGUGAAAGCCCCCAGCUCAACUGGGGAAGUGCCUUGGAAACUGCUUGUCUAGAGGGAGGUAGGGGCAUGUGGAACUUCGGGUGGAGCGGUGAAAUGCGUUGAUAUCCGAAGGAACGCCGGUGGCGAAAGCGACGUGCUGGAUCUCUUCUGACGCUGAGGCGCGAAAGCUAGGGUAGCGAACGGGAUUAGAUACCCCGGUAGUCCUAGCCCUAAACGAUGGGUACUAGAUUGCGGACUUAACAUGGGGUUCGCAGUCGAAGCAAAAGUGGUAAGUACCCCGCCUGGGGAGUAUGGUC
rnacentral:rRNA from 1 species